CCGGCCUAGGAUCGGCGAGGCCUAGGAUUGGAGCAGCCUGCAAACUGAAGAGCUCUUCUCUCCCCGCCUCUCAGCUGAUCGGCAGCUGGGUGGGGCUUCCAGAGAGGCCUCUGAGUAGGCCUCCCUGAAGCCUGAACUCAGGAGGCCCCAGCAAGCCAGGAAGGAGGCUGGCAGAGCUCCCUGCAGCAGACCAGACCACCCAGCACAGCUUUUGCAAGAACCUGAAGAAGAACUUAUGAUUGGGGGAAGAUAACAUUCAAUUUAUAAUAGAGCCAAAUCUGAUGAGCUGGACAAAUUCGUAUUCCAAACCAGGGAGACUGUAGACUGAAAAAGAUAAAAGCUGCUAUCAAAGGCUCAGCCACACACGAAUGAUCAAUAAUGCAAGAAGCAUGCAAUGGAAACUUUAAGUUGGCUUCUGUUCCAAUCAGAGUAAACACUAUCCAGAUGAUAGUAAAUGGACAAACGACAACAUCAGCAACCAAAACACUAGGUUAGGAAAUGAGAGACAGAAUAAGACAUGAUGGUUGGGUACACACUGUACUGAAAUAGUGUGGCAUGGGCAUCUUGCAUAGAGCAUCUUGCAUACUGAAAUACAUGGUUUCCAACUUCACUACAUCUUCCAUUAAUUCUAAGGGUGUUGCCUGUGCUAGAGCAGGACACUAGAGUGGAUGCAGUACUGGAUGUAGAGUGGAGAGACUUAGGUUCAAAUCCCCACUAGUUCCCCACCUUGAGCAAAUCAUACAGCCCUUUUCAGAUCUUUCCCAAUGCAAUCGGUGAAUACAAUCAGUGAAUGAGGGGGAGCUAGAUAAUGCCCAUUAGCAACACUCCUGAUAUCGAAGGGUACGUUGGCCAUGUGUCCAGGCCACAUUGUGCAUUUGGUGUUUCUCAUCAAGAGGCCAAGCUACAAACAGAGACAGCUCCUCCUUGCAAAUUGGAGCUCAGGAUCUGCUGGGUUCUGCAGCAGAAAUUUGGGUGGAGUCCUUGGAAUUGUGGAUAAAAUUUGCAGCUGGCUGCCUUGUCCUUCAAAAUGUCUUGAAAGGGUUUUAUAUCAUGUGAGCUGCAUUUCCCAAGCAGCCUUGCCAGAAGACACUAGCUGGUGUGUUGUGCUGAUUCACCCCAUAAUGCUCUAGGACAGGGUUUCUUAACCUUGGGCCCCCAGAUGUUGUUGGACCACAACUCCCAUUAUCCUCAGCCACAAAGGCCAUGUCUGGGGAUGAUGGGAGUUGUCGUCAAACAACAUCUGGGGGCCCAAGGUUAAGAAACCCUGCUCUAGGAAGACACAUCCCUCUUGAUGCAUAAAGCAGUGAGAUAGCUCCAAAAGUGGAGAGUUUAAACUACCCACUUUUAGAGUGAACUCGUUUGCUUAGGACUAUUUGUGCCUAGCAGCACAUGCUGCUCAACUAGAGGACGAAGGAAGCAAAAACAAACAAAUUCAUGUGUGGUUUGGGUGCCUUGGGGUGGGGGGAAAUAUGUCUGUGUUGGGGAGGCAGUGUACCCUCCCUGGCUUUUUUCAAUGUAAGUGUGCCUCAGGAUGAAUAGGGUUGGGAAACACUAGGUCCCUCUUUUGAAGUUCUUCCCCCCACACAUAGCAAAAUGUGUACUGACUAGUCAUGGCCUUCACCACUGAUGUGCCUGCUGGCAGUGGCACACCUAGUAAAUUUCUUAGCUGGGACCUAGAGGGCUAUGGAGGACCCCCUCAAGUAAGGCUCCCCUCCAUGAGCCCCCCCCCGCAAGGCCCCAUGAAAAAGGUCUAAUAGCUUUUUAGCCUGUUCACCUGCCCAUCUCCUCUGUUCUGCAUGGUGGAAAGGAUAGCUGAGCAGGCCUGCCUGUGGCCACUGGGCGACUCAUG